AUUGAACGCUGGCGGCAGGCCUAACACAUGCAAGUCGAGCGGAUGAAGGGAGCUUGCUCCUGGAUUCAGCGGCGGACGGGUGAGUAAUGCCUAGGAAUCUGCCUGGUAGUGGGGGAUAACGUCCGGAAACGGGCGCUAAUACCGCAUACGUCCUGAGGGAGAAAGUGGGGGAUCUUCGGACCUCACGCUAUCGGAUGAGCCUAGGUCGGAUUAGCUAGUUGGUGGGGUAAAGGCCUACCAAGGCGACGAUCCGUAACUGGUCUGAGAGGAUGAUCAGUCACACUGGAACUGAGACACGGUCCAGACUCCUACGGGAGGCAGCAGUGGGGAAUAUUGGACAAUGGGCGAAAGCCUGAUCCAGCCAUGCCGCGUGUGUGAAGAAGGUCUUCGGAUUGUAAAGCACUUUAAGUUGGGAGGAAGGGCAGUAAGUUAAUACCUUGCUGUUUUGACGUACCAACAGAAUAAGCACCG
rnacentral:rRNA from 1 species